UACAGAGGUCUCAAGCGUUGUUCGGAUUCAUUGGGCGUAAAGGGUGCGUAGGCGGCGCGGUAAGUCGGGGUGUGAAAUCUCGGAGCUUAACUCCGAAACUGCAUUCGAUACUGCCGUGCUUUGAGGACUGGAGAGGAGACUGGAAUUUACGGUGUAGCAGUGAAAUGCGUAGAGAUCGUAAGGAAGACCAGUGGCGAAGGCGGGUCUCUGGACAGUUCCUGACACUGAGGCACGAAGGCCAGGGGAGCAAACGGG
rnacentral:rRNA from 1 species